GUGGAGGGCAAUAUCCCGCUUCAUUUUGAAAUGCUUCCCACAAACAUCACACUUGAACUCUCUCAGGCCAGAGUGUCUGUACAUGUGCUCAUUGAGAUAAGACGUAGAACGAAACAUCUUGCCACACUCUUGGCAUUCAUGAGGUCUUUCACCAGUGUGUGUAAGGGUGUGUUGGUUGAGGACACUCUUCUGAUAGAACUUUUUGCCACACUCUUGGCAUUCAUGAGGUCUUUCACCAGUGUGUGUAAGGGUGUGUGUCUCAAGGUUAAUCUUCUGAGUGAACUUUUUGCCACACUCUUGGCAUUCAUGAGGUCUUUCACCAGUGUGUGUAAGGGUGUGUCUGCUGAGGUCCCUCUUGUGACUAAACUUUUUGCCACACUCACAGCAUUCAUGAGGUCUUUCACCAGUGUGUGUAAGGGUGUGUCUGUUGAGGACACUCUUCUGAGUGAACUUUUUGCCACACUCACAGCAUUCAUGAGGUCUUUCACCAGUGUGUGUAAGGGUGUGUGUGUUGAGGUCACUCUUCUGAGUGAACUUUUUGCCACACUCAUGGCAUUCAUGAGGUCUUUCACCAGUGUGUGUAAGGGUGUGUGUGUUGAGGACACUCUUCCGAGUGAACUUUUUGCCACACUCUUUGCAUUCAUGAGGUCUUUCACCAGUGUGUGUAAGGGUGUGUGUGUUGAGGUGACUCUUCGUACUGAACUUUUUCCCACACUCAUGGCAUUCAUGAGGUUUUUCACCAGUGUGUGUAAGGGUGUGUGCCUUGAGGGUACUCUUGUUAUUGAACUUUUUC